UACGUAGGUGGCAAGCGUUGUCCGGAAUUAUUGGGCGUAAAGCGCGCGCAGGCGGUCCUUUAAGUCUGAUGUGAAAGCCCCCGGCUCAACCGGGGAGGGUCAUUGGAAACUGGGGGACUUGAGUGCAGAAGAGGAGAGUGGAAUUCCACGUGUAGCGGUGGAAAUGCGUAGAGAUGUGGAGGAACACCAGUGGCGAAGGCGACUCUCUGGUCUGUAACUGACGCUGAGGCGCGAAAGCGUGGGUAGCGAACAGG
rnacentral:rRNA from 1 species